rnacentral:rRNA from 1 species
CGUACACUCCUGCGGGAGGCAGCAGUGGGGAAUAUUGGACAAUGGGCGCAAGCCUGAUCCAGCCAUGCCGCGUGAGUGAUGAAGGCCCUAGGGUUGUAAAGCUCUUUCACCGGUGAAGAUAAUGACGGUAACCGGAGAAGAAGCCCCGGCUAACUUCGUGCCAGCAGCCGCGGUAAUACGAAGGGGGCUAGCGUUGUCCGGAUUUACUGGGCGUAAAGCGCACGUAGGCGGACUAUUAAGUCAGGGGUGAAAUCCCGGGGCUCAACCCCGGAACUGCCUUUGAUACUGGUAGUCUUGAGUUCGAGAGAGGUGAGUGGAAUUCCGAGUGUAGAGGUGAAAUUCGUAGAUAUUCGGAGGAACACCAGUGGCGAAGGCGGCUCACUGGCUCGAUACUGACGCUGAGGUGCGAAAGCGUGGGGAGCAAACAGGAUUAGAAACCCGAGUAGUCCC